rnacentral:rRNA from 1 species
UACGGGGGGGGCAAGCGUUGUUCGGAAUUACUGGGCGUAAAGGGCUCGUAGGCGGCCAACUAAGUCAGACGUGAAAUCCCUCGGCUUAACCGGGGAACUGCGUCUGAUACUGGAUGGCUUGAGUUUGGAAGAGGGAUGCGGAAUUCCAGGUGUAGCGGUGAAAUGCGUAGAUAUCUGGAGGAACACCGGUGGCGAAGGCGGCAUCCUGGACCAACACUGACGCUGAGUGAGCGAAAGCCAGGGGAGCAAACGGG